CAAGCUAAUUAUGUGGCUGUUUUUCUUCCUAGAAAAUCAAAUCAAUCCCAGAAAGACUGAUUGACAUAGAACCAUCCCUUGCCUUCCUUAAGCAGCCAAAAGCAAUUGGUAGUGAAUUGCUUUUUCUUAAAUCAUUGUUUUCAACUAAAGAAAGGAAAUUGCUCGUAGGUUUUGAUGGCGCUGGGCAACCUAUCCCCCUGAAUAAGGUAACGAAAUAUUCGCGUGACUUUCAGGCAUUUUUCAAAAUACUUGAAGCUGGCUAAUAUACAGAGAACAAAAUACAUUUAAGACCUUUAAUACAAGGUUAAUUGACGAUUGAUCAUGCAUAUAGUUGUAAGUUUUGUCACCGUAUUUUAUAUAUAUUUUGGAAGCACUUUAUCCUGGCUGGUCGUGCUAAGUAGUCAAGACAGCUGAUCCGUUAAAUUAAGUCUUAAUUAAGGCAGUUUUGGAGUAAAUGAACUUAAAUCGUAUAUGUGUACAAAAUAUGUACCUAUAUCAAGGUUAAACGCUUUCAAUUAUUUAAUGAUACCCGCAUUUAGUUAUAGGCAAGUUUCGUACAAAUGGACUUUAGAUUUUGCUAAUAAAUCAAAACGGUA